rnacentral:rRNA from 1 species
AACGAACGCUGGCGGCAUGCCUAACACAUGCAAGUCGAACGAGACCUUCGGGCCUAGUGGCGCACGGGUGCGUAACGCGUGGGAACAUGCCCUUAGGUUCGGAAUAACUCCCCGAAAGGGGUGCUAAUACCGGAUAAUGUCUUCGGACCAAAGAUUUAUCGCCUUUGGAUGGGCCCGCGUUGGAUUAGCUAGUUGGUAGGGUAAAAGCCUACCAAGGCGACGAGCCAUGGCUGGUCUGAGAGGAUGAUCAGCCACACUGGGACUGAGACACGGCCCAGACUCCUACGGGAGGCAGCAGUGGGGAAUAUUGGACAGUGGGCGAAAGCCUGAGCCAGCAAUGCCGCGUGAGUGAUGAAGGCCUUAGGGUUGUAAAGCUCUUUUACCCGGGAUGAUAAUGACAGUACCGGGAGAAUAAGCUCCGGCUAACUCCGU